UAAAGAUUCAUCGCUGAUAGAUAGGCAUGCGUUCCAUUAGGCAGUUGGCGGGGUAACGGCCCACCAAACCGACGAUGGAUAGGGGUUCUGAGGGGAAGGUCCCCCACAUUGGUACUGAGACACGGACCAAACUCCUACGGGAGGCAGCAGUGAGGAAUAUUGGUCAAUGGGCGUAAGCCUGAACCAGCCAAGUCGCGUGAGGGAUGAAGGUUCUAUGGACCGUAAACCUCUUUUAUAAGGGAAUAAAGUGCGGGACGUGUCCCGUUUUGUAUGUACCUUAUGAAUAAGGAUCGGCUAACUCCGUGCCAGCAGCCGCGGUAAUACGGAGGAUCCGAGCGUUAUCCGGAUUUAUUGGGUUUAAAGGGUGCGUAGGCGGCCUUUUAAGUCAGCGGUGAAAGUCUGUGGCUCAACCAUAGAAUUGCCGUUGAAACUGGGGGGCUUGAGUAUGUUUGAGGCAGGCGGAAUGCGUGGUGUAGCGGUGAAAUGCUUAGAUAUCACGCAGAACCCCGAUUGCGAAGGCAGCCUGCCAAGCCAUGACUGACGCUGAUGCACGAAAGCGUGGGGAUCAAACAGGAUUAGAUACCCUGGUAGUCCACGCAGUAAACGAUGAUCACUAGCUGUUUGCGAUACAGUGUAA
rnacentral:rRNA from 1 species